GGAGAUUCUGCUUCCUUUUUGUUUAAGUCAACUUGCCAUCAGAAAGCCCCUUUUCACUCCCCUAUUUACUCACGAUCCACUUUUUACUCCCCUUGCCCCCAAACUUACCCAAAGUGAGCCUUUGACUACUCAUGGUCGACCCUAGCUCUCCCUAAACCCCAUCUUUUAUUUUGAUACUCCCAUUUUUCCUCUCUUCCCCCCUCUAGAC
rnacentral:lncRNA from 1 species